AGAGUGGAGUUGCAGCAGCCCCAGGUCAGCCAGGGCCUCCACACUCACCAAAGACACCAAAGAGAGAAACAUUCCCUGUCUUUGGGCAGCACCGAGGACAUGAUCCAGGUCCUGCUGCAUCUGCACAGAGCUGGAGCCAGGGCUGCCAGCACUGAGAUAGCCCAGCUCCAACCUGUCUGCACCAUGGACUGCACCUCACCUCCCCCGAGCCUGACUCUGCUGCAGCACACCCUGGGCAUUGCAGGGCAGGGGAGAGAGUGGCAGGGAAAUGUACACCAGCUGAUGUGCUUGUCUGCUUUCUUUUUACACUAUGUGGGUUAAAACCCUGAAAUUCCUGAGAAGGAUAUCCCAUUUUCUUCUGGCUGCUGAAAAUCACCUCCUGAUGUCCCCUGCUUUCAUGGGCCAUGUCAACUUACUAGAGUACUAUUUUAACGAUUAACUGUUAUAGCAUAAAAGCAAAAGUUCUCUUCGUCCAUCUCUGGGAAAACAGGGGUUUUCUUUUUGUAUCCCUGGGGCAAAGGUUCUUAUCCCUCUCAUCUCUCUGUUCAAGUUUCUCAUUGGAUCACAGCACUGCAACAUCUGCUUAUUUCAACAGUGGUGCUUCUGCUCACUCCUGUAGUUGAAUGUUACAGCUGCAUCCCCCACAAUGCAUUCCAUGAAUUACAGGGGGAAAAAAAGUUUGACAUAGCAAUUAUACCUUCACCAUAGCCCCACAAGAGAAUUUCAGCCCAAAAACUAAGGCAUCUCCUCAAUCCCCUCCCAUCUACAAUUUGACUCCUUCCUCACUGACCUCAGUGUCCCAUGUUGUUUCCUCUGCAUGUCUUCACCUUUUCCUUUUUCUUAUUCAGGAGAGAACCGGUGUUUGUGGACUAAUUUUCUCUCAAGCUUUAUCAAUUGAAACAAUUUUUAUAGAUUUCUGCAGUGCUGAAAGGUUUAUCUCAUUCAGGCUCUGCAUCGGGGGAAUCACUCGCUGUGAUCACUCACUGAUAAUGGGGUUUUUCUUCCCCAUUAUUUCUUUCAUCUUUCAAUGUCUAAUUUCAUUUUUUGGUAAACCUCAAGUUUAUUUGUAAAAGCAAAUAUCUUUUUCCAUUCAUCAAUCAGUGGAAUCCUUCCCAUUGUUUCUUUCAUCUCCCAGUGCUAGCUUUCUCUACCAGCAGACCCACAGCUUGUUUGUAAAGACAAAUCUGCUAUUCCUCUCACUGGGAAAGAGGCCUGGCCCUGCUGGGAAGGGGCCUGGCCCCAUCAGGAAGGGGCUUUGUUAGGUUUCUUUUUCUCGGGCCAGGUCUUAUAAACCCUCAAAAGGGAACCUAACACACCCGAGGAUGGCUUAGCUAUUAGCUUUUGGGGGCAUAUAAUAAGCAAGAUGGCUUCUGCUGCAGUGUUAGAAACAAAAAGGGUUUAAUAAAAGGUAAAAUAACAAACAGAAAAACUCGAGCUAGGUACAGAGGUCCUGGUAUAAACACCUCACAAAAGCAGUUUAGUUCUUUUUGCUCUCUUCUUUUCUACCUGAUGGGCCAGGCGGGACUUUUUGGCUUCUAUCCAAUUAGAUGACCUCGAGAUUUUGGUGAAGUCUCUGAGGUCCUAUGAGGUGGCUUUUCACCUAAUCAUUGAGAGAAACUUCUAGGCUUCUUUCCUUUUUUGGGGGACAAAGGAUAGCUUUGCCGCUCUUGUCCUUAGGGGGCACAAUCCUACAGGGCUUGGCAGGCCUGUGAGGGGCUCAGCAGCCUGCUCACCACCCCUCAGAGGACAGAAAUCUCAGCCAUGCCACGUCCUGCUGCAGGCCGAGCCAGCCUGGCCGCACAGGGCCUGCCCGGCCUGGCCAGUUACCAUUCCAAGCCUGGAAGCCCAAAGACCUUUCCUGGCCUUUGCUGGUUUUUAAAUGUGCCUUCAUGGGGGCGUGUUCAACUCUUUUAAGUGGUUGAACUGGGUGUCAAUCUUCAAAACUAGCCAGCUGAUUGGCUCUGCCAGGCCCCUUCAGGGAACCGCCCCUGCGGCCUGUGGACUGCGCCCAACUGAAAAUCAGAUUUCGUUAAACCGCGACGCUGGAAAGAGAGUAAAGGCCUUCCUCCCUGUGACGACCCAGAAGGGGCAGCAGCCAUGAAGAUCCUGUUCCUGCUCUUCCCCCUGAUCCUUCUGUUGGUCCAGAGUGCUGCAGGGAUGAUCCCUGCCAGGGCUGGACAAGGACUUUUCAUCAGAGGUCGCACAAAUCACGGCACAGCCAGGACAGGGAGUAACCUUCAAUGCAGAGAGAGAGGAGGAAUCUGUUCUUCUGUAAGAUGCCGCCCCCCUCUAAGAACUAUUGGAAGAUGUACAAACAUGGACUUUUGCUGCAGAAGUUUUACGGGUUGAAACCCUGAAAUUCCCAAGCAGGACAUGACCCAUUUGCUUCUGGCUGCUGGACCCAUGUGCUGAUGUCCCCACGUGCUGAUGUCCCCAUGUGCUGAUGUCCCCUGCCCUCGCUGGCUGUGCCGUGCCCAGCUGGGCUGCCAGCAGCAGUGGCAGCUGCUCCUGCUGGCUGCUGCUGGGCUGGAGCCCUGUGGUGGCAGGGCCGGUGUCUUUGGGGCAGGGGCUGCUUUUCCCGGCUUGAAUAAAGAGCAGCACUUUGGCAUUGCAGGGCUGGGCCGUGUGUGCGUGUGCUGCUGCUGCUGCAGGGCUGCUGUGCCUGCUGGCCCUGGGGCUGCCACUGCCUUGGUGGCAGCACAAGGCCCUGGCCAUGGUGCUGGGGCUGAGCAGCGCCUGUGUCCCUGGGGAUGCUCCUGCCUGGCCCUGCUUUGGGGACGCUGAGCCUGGCAGUGCCUGCUGGGCCAGGCUGGCUGGGCUGCCUGUGGUGGGGAUGCCCUGCAGAUGCUCCCUCUGGGGAACUGGGAUCCCUGUGCUGGUCCUGCCACUCCCCUAUGUCCCUUGUCCCUGUCAGCCACGGCCUCCCGUGCAGAGCUGUGCUGGGGGAUGUGUCCCUUGAGUGGCCUUUGCUAUGGUGACCCACAGGAGCUGUCCCUGCUGCUCCUCCUUAUCCUGUUCCAGCACCUCAGCCCUCCCUGCUGUUUCUGUGCUGCUCCACACCUCAUCCCAUCAGACAGGAGUGGGAGGAAGCUGUUCACAUCUUGGGUUGGGUGACCCUUGAAAAGAUGCCAUUGCUGUGGGAAUGAACACAUUUGUUUGGCCAUGGGAGAAUGCAGAAUGUCCUGGCCUCUCUGCCCAUCUCAGGCAGUCUGGAGUGACAAUUCUCUGUACCUUGAAAGGCAGGGGCCUCUCCCUGUGUGCAGAGCAGACCUCGGGCACUGGCAUUUCAAUGGUUUACUAUGUGUGUGUCCGUGUACUUGUGGGUAUAAGAGUAACUGGGGACCUUGCCUGGCUUAGGGACAGCAUUAUCCCCCAGGAAUCAGUGAGUCAUAGAAUUGGUGAUGUUGGAAAGGCCCUUUAAGCUCAUUGAGUGCAACCAUUGCCCCAGCACUGCCAAGGCCACCACUAAACCAAGUCCCCAAAUGCCAUGUCCAGAUGGCUUUUAAAUACUCCAGAGUUAGUAAUUCCACCACUGCCCUGGGCCUGCUGUCCCAACACUACUGAUUAUGCAAAGAAACUGUUCCUAAUACCCAAUUGAAUCCUUCCCUGGUUCUGCUUUUGGCCAUUUCCUCUGCUCAAUUUAUACUUGUGAGAAGAGACCGACACCAACAUUUUUUUGUUGCCAGUGCUCUCUAGAACUGCAAAGUUUGGUGAGGGAUGUUCAUAUGAACCCUGCCUGCUGUGGCCCUUCCUUCCCCUGUGCUAAACCUGAAGUUUUAUUUUGUCCCUCUUCUUUACAAACUAUGCAGACAAGGUUGUUGAAGUGAAAUGAGAGCUAAGUCUUUCCUCUCACUGUACAAAGCAGAGCAAGAUUGCUAUAUUCAGUCAGAUCAUCCACAUCCCACUCUGAGUAUUUAUAACAUCAGGGAAAUGAAGGAAUGCAAAGAAGCAAACCAUUUCCUCAUUUCUACUCUUCCCAGCAUGAUUCACUCUGCCUUGUCCAUCCCAGCCCUCUCCUGCCCAGCCCGGUGCUGCUGUGCCGCGGGUGUCACAAGAGGUGUUGCAUGGGGACAACGGUGACAUUGAUUGCAACAGCCCCACCAGGCCCCUCAGCCUCUGCCCCUACAGCAGCAGGGAGGGAGCAGGGCCAGCCCCAGCACCCCCACAGCCAUGGGGCACUCCCGGGUUGGCCCAGGCCACUUGUGCCAGCAGCAACUGGGGCCUGUCCCACCCACCUGCACUGCUAUAAACCCAGCCUGUUUGGGGCACUGCAGCAUUGCCUGGCCCCAAGGGCAUCUGCACACAGCCAUUCCUGCUGCGUUUGCUGCUGCCUGAACAUCCAGACCUUCUCCAGGCAGCCCUGUGACAACCCAGAAGGGGCAGAAGCCAUGAAGAUCCUGUUCCUGCUCUUCCCCCUGCUCCUCCUGCUGGUCCAGGGUGCUGCAGGAAGUGAACUUCAG